CGUUUUUCCGCGCCGUAGCUAACGCAUUAAGUGCCCCGCCUGGGGAGUACGGCCGCAAGGCUAAAACUCAAAGGAAUUGACGGGGGCCCGCACAAGCGGCGGAGCAUGCGGAUUAAUUCGAUGCAACGCGAAGAACCUUACCAAGGCUUGACAUGAACCGGAAAGACCUGGAAACAGGUGCCCCGCUUGCGGUCGGUUUACAGGUGGUGCAUGGUUGUCGUCAGCUCGUGUCGUGAGAUGUUGGGUUAAGUCCCGCAACGAGCGCAACCCUCGUUCUAUGUUGCCAGCACGUGAUGGUGGGGACUCAUAGGAGACUGCCGGGGUCAACUCGGAGGAAGGUGGGGACGACGUCAAAUCAUCAUGCCCCUUAUGUCUUGGGCUUCACGCAUGCUACAAUGGCCGGUACAAAGGGUUGCGAUACUGUGAGGUGGAGCUAAUCCCAAAAAGCCGGUCUCAGUUCGGAUUGGGGUCUGCAACUCGACCCCAUGAAGUCGGAGUCGCUAGUAAUCGCAGAUCAGCAACGCUGCGGUGAAUACGUUCCCGGGCCUUGUACACACCGCCCGUCAAGUCACGAAAGUUGGUAACACCCGAAGCCGGUG
rnacentral:rRNA from 1 species